GACAGAGGUGCCAAGCGUUAGGCGGAAUCACUGGGCUUAAAGCGUGUGUAGGUGGAUGCCUAAGUGCCUUGUGAAAUCCCACGGCUCAACCGUGGAAUUGCUGGGCAUACUGGGUGUCUUGAGCCAUCCAGGGGUCGCUGGAACAAACGGUGGAGCGGUGAAAUGCGUAGAUAUCGUUUGGAACGCCAAUGGUGAAAACAGGCGACUGGGGAUGAGCUGACACUGAGACACGAAAGCCAGGGGAGCAAACGGGG
rnacentral:rRNA from 1 species